rnacentral:lncRNA from 1 species
CUUGUUUCUCCUGUCUUGUGUAGACUAAUAAACCUCUGAAGUUGUUCUUGCAACUAUUUAUCUCAAGUAAGAUGAGAGAUAAUAAACAAGCAAAGCGUGCACUGAAGGCUACAAGUUAUCAUGGAUCACUGGAGGCUUGGUUCCAUGUCAUCCAGACUCAAGACCCCGCUCCACUAGAGCUCAUACAAUAGAACACGGAUCUUACUCAUACUGAACAAAUGCCCCAUCUUGGAUGACAAUUCUGAAGGUGUGCUCCUGUCAGAGUUUCUUCCCUGCUGUGGCUGUUUUGACCUGUGUCCAGAAAUGUCUGGUGCUCUUGCCACUACCUUGAGUGAAGCAUUUCCUCAAAGCAAACAUGACAACAUCCCAGGGGCAGGAUUCUGGAAGCCUCACAGUCCACACCAGACAACGAGAAAUCCUUCAACUAAGUGGCUGGACACAGGACACUUUCGG